CUCAGAAGAAGGCUAAAUUUUAAGAGUUAGACUAUGUGUUUAAUGAAUUCGAUAGGCACAAGAUGCAACUAGCCACAAAAAUGGGAAAAUCACAACUUGAUAUUUAUUUGGAGGAGGCAUAUUUAAAUUUUAAAAGAUAAUAAUGAUUUGGAUGUGCUACAGUGGUGAAAAGAAACUAAAAGUCAAUUUCCAGAACUAUUAAUCAUGGUCCAUGACGUGCUUUGCAUUC